UGCCCAGCAACUCCUAUCCCUACCUUCUCGUGGUACCGGUCGGAAACUAUGAGCAACCUUAGGGAAUAUUAGGUAACCAACCCCUGUGGGAACUUUGGUCGUAUGCUGACAGGGAAGG
rfam:Aedes albopictus isolate Foshan contig54221, whole genome shotgun sequence.